AGACUUCACCCCAAUAAACCUAGCUGCACACAUCCACGUAAAUUAAAAAUAUUAAUUAGAGUUGCAUUAAUUUGUGUUGAUCAGAUGUUUUAGGCUCUUGAUUAAUCAUAUCUUCCUAAAAAAUUUUGGGAAAGCGAUAUAAUAACCAUGCUUUUGAAGGGAAAAAAAAGGAAAAGGAAAAAAGAAAGUGAAUUCUUGAUUAGUAGUUUUAGUCACUAGCUAAAAUACAAAUAUGUCAAAAUCAAAAUGCUUUCCUAAGAGAGCAUUAGCAAUAAAGUUGAUGGAAAUGUAUAUGACACAAAGGUUUAAUAUUAAUCAGACCACAGUUAUUUUCAGUGAUUGUUUGUUUAUUAGACAAAGAAAUAGGGAUUAGGAGGGCAAAAAGCUUAAUUGAUUAGUCAUUCAAAGCAAAGAUUACACUACAAAAAUUUGUGGGAGGUGAGGAAACUUCUUAUGGGUCUAAAAGGAAAAUAAAGAAUGAUGAAAUGUGGGGUAAAGUUGCAUAGAGCAAAAGAAUAUUUGCAGACAAAGCACCGGAACUUACAGGGAUAAUAAGUAGUAAUAAACAAAAAUGUACAACUUAAAGGUCGCGUGAGAAAGUUAGAGCAGGGG
rnacentral:misc_RNA from 1 species